UACGGAAGGUCCGGGCGUUAUCCGGAUUUAUUGGGUUUAAAGGGAGCGCAGGCCGGGUGCUAAGCGUGCUGUGAAAUGCCGCGGCUCAACCGUGGCAGUGCAGCGCGAACUGGCUCUCUUGAGUGUGCGGUAGGAAGGCGGAAUUCGUGGUGUAGCGGUGAAAUGCUUAGAUAUCACGAGGAACCCCGAUUGCGAAGGCAGCUUUCCGCAGCAUUACUGACGCUGAGGCUCGAAGGUGCGGGUAU
rnacentral:rRNA from 1 species